rnacentral:rRNA from 1 species
GGGUUGUGAGGUUAAGCGACUAAGCGUACACGGUGGAUGCCCUGGCAGUCAGAGGCGAUGAAGGACGUGCUAAUCUGCGAUAAGCGUCGGUAAGGUGAUAUGAACCGUUAUAACCGGCGAUUUCCGAAUGGGGAAACCCAGUGUGAUUCGUCACACUAUCAUUAACUGAAUCCAUAGGUUAAUGAGGCGAACCGGGGGAACUGAAACAUCUAAGUACCCCGAGGAAAAGAAAUCAACCGAGAUUCCCCCAGUAGCGGCGAGCGAACGGGGAGGAGCCCAGAGCCUGAAUCAGUGUGUGUGUUAGUGGAAGCGUCUGGAAAGGCGCGCGAUACAGGGUGACAGCCCCGUACACAAAAAUGCACAUGCUGUGAGCUCGAUGAGUAGGGCGGGACACGUGGUAUCCUGUCUGAAUAUGGGGGGACCAUCCUCCAAGGCUAAAUACUCCUGACUGACCGAUAGUGAACCAGUACCGUGAGGGAAAGGCGAAAAGAACCCCGGCGAGGGGAGUGAAAAAGAACCUGAAACCGUGUACGUACAAGCAGUGGGAGCACGCUUAGGCGUGUGACUGCGUACCUUUUGUAUAAUGGGUCAGCGACUUAUAUUCUGUAGCAAGGUUAACCGAAUAGGGGAGCCGAAGGGAAACCGAGUCUUAACUGGGCGUUAAGUUGCAGGGUAUAGACCCGAAACCCGGUGAUCUAGCCAUGGGCAGGUUGAAGGUUGGGUAACACUAACUGGAGGACCGAACCGACUAAUGUUGAAAAAUUAGCGGAUGACUUGUGGCUGGGGGUGAAAGGCCAAUCAAACCGGGAGAUAGCUGGUUCUCCCCGAAAGCUAUUUAGGUAGCGCCUCGUGAAUUCAUCUCCGGGGGUAGAGCACUGUUUCGGCAAGGGGGUCAUCCCGACUUACCAACCCGAUGCAAACUGCGAAUACCGGAGAAUGUUAUCACGGGAGACACACGGCGGGUGCUAACGUCCGUCGUGAAGAGGGAAACAACCCAGACCGCCAGCUAAGGUCCCAAAGUCAUGGUUAAGUGGGAAACGAUGUGGGAAGGCCCAGACAGCCAGGAUGUUGGCUUAGAAGCAGCCAUCAUUUAAAGAAAGCGUAAUAGCUCACUGGUCGAGUCGGCCUGCGCGGAAGAUGUAACGGGGCUAAACCAUGCACCGAAGCUGCGGCAGCGACACUGUGUGUUGUUGGGUAGGGGAGCGUUCUGUAAGCCUGUGAAGGUGUGCUGUGAGGCAUGCUGGAGGUAUCAGAAGUGCGAAUGCUGACAUAAGUAACGAUAAAGCGGGUGAAAAGCCCGCUCGCCGGAAGACCAAGGGUUCCUGUCCAACGUUAAUCGGGGCAGGGUGAGUCGACCCCUAAGGCGAGGCCGAAAGGCGUAGUCGAUGGGAAACAGGUUAAUAUUCCUGUACUUGGUGUUACUGCGAAGGGGGGACGGAGAAGGCUAUGUUGGCCGGGCGACGGUUGUCCCGGUUUAAGCGUGUAGGCUGGUUUUCCAGGCAAAUCCGGAAAAUCAAGGCUGAGGCGUGAUGACGAGGCACUACGGUGCUGAAGCAACAAAUGCCCUGCUUCCAGGAAAAGCCUCUAAGCAUCAGGUAACAUCAAAUCGUACCCCAAACCGACACAGGUGGUCAGGUAGAGAAUACCAAGGCGCUUGAGAGAACUCGGGUGAAGGAACUAGGCAAAAUGGUGCCGUAACUUCGGGAGAAGGCACGCUGAUAUGUAGGUGAAGUCCCUCGCGGAUGGAGCUGAAAUCAGUCGAAGAUACCAGCUGGCUGCAACUGUUUAUUAAAAACACAGCACUGUGCAAACACGAAAGUGGACGUAUACGGUGUGACGCCUGCCCGGUGCCGGAAGGUUAAUUGAUGGGGUUAGCGCAAGCGAAGCUCUUGAUCGAAGCCCCGGUAAACGGCGGCCGUAACUAUAACGGUCCUAAGGUAGCGAAAUUCCUUGUCGGGUAAGUUCCGACCUGCACGAAUGGCGUAAUGAUGGCCAGGCUGUCUCCACCCGAGACUCAGUGAAAUUGAACUCGCUGUGAAGAUGCAGUGUACCCGCGGCAAGACGGAAAGACCCCGUGAACCUUUACUAUAGCUUGACACUGAACAUUGAGCCUUGAUGUGUAGGAUAGGUGGGAGGCUUUGAAGUGUGGACGCCAGUCUGCAUGGAGCCGACCUUGAAAUACCACCCUUUAAUGUUUGAUGUUCUAACGUUGACCCGUAAUCCGGGUUGCGGACAGUGUCUGGUGGGUAGUUUGACUGGGGCGGUCUCCUCCUAAAGAGUAACGGAGGAGCACGAAGGUUGGCUAAUCCUGGUCGGACAUCAGGAGGUUAGUGCAAUGGCAUAAGCCAGCUUGACUGCGAGCGUGACGGCGCGAGCAGGUGCGAAAGCAGGUCAUAGUGAUCCGGUGGUUCUGAAUGGAAGGGCCAUCGCUCAACGGAUAAAAGGUACUCCGGGGAUAACAGGCUGAUACCGCCCAAGAGUUCAUAUCGACGGCGGUGUUUGGCACCUCGAUGUCGGCUCAUCACAUCCUGGGGCUGAAGUAGGUCCCAAGGGUAUGGCUGUUCGCCAUUUAAAGUGGUACGCGAGCUGGGUUUAGAACGUCGUGAGACAGUUCGGUCCCUAUCUGCCGUGGGCGCUGGAGAACUGAGGGGGGCUGCUCCUAGUACGAGAGGACCGGAGUGGACGCAUCACUGGUGUUCGGGUUGUCAUGCCAAUGGCACUGCCCGGUAGCUAAAUGCGGAAGAGAUAAGUGCUGAAAGCAUCUAAGCACGAAACUUGCCCCGAGAUGAGUUCUCCCUGACUCCUUGAGAGUCCUGAAGGAACGUUGAAGACGACGACGUUGAUAGGCCGGGUGUGUAAGCGCAGCGAUGCGUUGAGCUAACCGGUACUAAUGAACCGUGAGGCUUAACCUUACAACGCCGAAGCUGUU